rnacentral:rRNA from 1 species
CCUACGGGCGGCAGCAGUGAGGAAUAUUGGUCAAUGGACGCAAGUCUGAACCAGCCAAGCCGCGUGCAGGAUGACGGCUCUAUGAGUUGUAAACUGCUUUUGUACAGGGAUAAACCUGAACACGUGUAUUUUGCUGAAAGUACUGUAUGAAUAAGGAUCGGCUAACUCCGUGCCAGCAGCCGCGGUAAUACGGAGGAUCCAAGCGUUAUCCGGAUUUAUUGGGUUUAAAGGGAGCGUAGAUGGAUUGAUAAGUCAGAUGUGAAAGGUUGGGGCUCAACAGUGAAACUGCAACUGAUACUGGUAGUCUAGAGUGCAGGUGAGGUAGGCGGAAUUUGUGGUGUAGCGGUGAAAUGCUUAGAGAUCACGAAGAACACCGAGUGCGAAGGCAGCUUACUAAACUGUAUCUGACAUUGAGGCUCGAAAGUGUGGGUAUCAAACAGGAUUAGAUACCCGUGUAGUC